UCGUAGUUGAAUUUGUGUCUUGCGCUGUCGGUUCAUCGCUUGAAUGCGGUGUUUAACUGGCACGUUGUGAGACGUCUUGCCGGAAGGGCAUGGUAUGUAUUUGGUUAUGUUUUAUUUUAAUUUAAUGGUGAUGUUGAAAAAUAUUAAUGUAUAUGGUGUGUAAAAGCCUGUAUAUAUUAUUUAUUACAUAUGCAUUAUCAUUGUUAAGAUAUUUCUAACUUGAUGCGUACGUAGUCCGACUUCUAAUCCUGUCUAGGUGCUCUUAACUGAGUGUCGUGGCGGGCCGGCACGUUUACUUUGAACAAAUUAGAGUGCUUAAAGCAGGCUUAUGUUGCCUGAAUAUAGUGUGCAUGGAAUAAUGAAACAGGACCUCGGUUCUAUUUUGUUGGUUUUCUGAACUAACGAGGUAAUGAUUAAUAGGGACAGAUGGGGGCAUUCGUAUUGCGACGUUAGAGGUGAAAUUCUUGGAUCG
rnacentral:rRNA from 1 species